CUGGGCUGUUGGGGCGUGCCUGGGCUGUUGGAGUGUGCCUGGGCUGUUGGAGUGUUCCUGGACUGUUGGGGCCCAGCCUCCCUUGAAGAGAUCUCCUGAAGAUCAGCCUUUCUUGGUGGAGGAGUUGUCUUGGGGCCACAUACCCUCUUCUGAACACACCUGGAAGACUUUCGGAGUAAGAAAGGGAGAUGUCAGAGGCCAGCAGGACACUAGGGAUGAAAUCUCGCCCAGAGAUGCGCACAGCAGGCGCGCCGUGGCUCUCGGACGCUAGGUGGCGCUGUCUGCAGCUCAGCGCCCUCGCCCCGCCGGGCUCGAGGUGCAGCCGCGCCUGCAGCGGGUUUCAGCAGGGGCAUUGCAAUGAGACCAGCAGUGAUGGAUGCCGUCCUUCUCCAGGCCUGGCUAACGAGGAGGAAGGAGGAACACACUCCCAGGGGAAAUGAGACACUGCGAGAAUCACAGGCCAACCGGUUGCGGGAGAACUGCGGGGAGAAAGAAAUUUACUUGCAAAAAAAUGGUGAAGGGCAAAUAAAGUGUUGAGCUUGUGCAGC
ensembl:lncRNA